rnacentral:rRNA from 1 species
GACGAACGCUGGCGGCGUGCUUAACACAUGCAAGUCGAACGGAAAGGCCCUGCUUUUGUGGGGUGCUCGAGUGGCGAACGGGUGAGUAACACGUGAGUGACCUGCCCUUGACUUUGGGAUAACUUCAGGAAACUGGGGCUAAUACCGGAUAGGAGCUCCUGCUGCAUGGUGGGGGUUGGAAAGUUUCGGCGGUUGGGGAUGGACUCGCGGCUUAUCAGCUUGUUGGUGGGGUAGUGGCUUACCAAGGCUUUGACGGGUAGCCGGCCUGAGAGGGUGACCGGCCACAUUGGGACUGAGAUACGGCCCAGACUCCUACGGGAGGCAGCAGUGGGGAAUAUUGCACAAUGGGCGGAAGCCUGAUGCAGCAACGCCGCGUGCGGGAUGACGGCCUUCGGGUUGUAAACCGCUUUCGCCUGUGACGAAGCGUGAGUGACGGUAAUGGGUAAAGAAGCACCGGCUAACUACGU